rnacentral:rRNA from 1 species
GUGGGGAAUAUUGGACAAUGGGCGAAAGCCUGAUCCAGCCAUGCCGCGUGUGUGAAGAAGGUCUUCGGAUUGUAAAGCACUUUAAGUUGGGAGGAAGGGCAGUAAGUUAAUACCUUGCUGUUUUGACGUUACCGACAGAAUAAGCACCGGCUAACUUCGUGCCAGCAGCCGCGGUAAUACGAAGGGUGCAAGCGUUAAUCGGAAUUACUGGGCGUAAAGCGCGCGUAGGUGGUUUUGUAAGUUGGAGGUGAAAUCCCCGGGCUCAACCUGGGAACUGCCUCCAAAACUGCAUGACUGGAGGACGGUAGAGGGUAGUGGAAUUUCCUGUGUAGCGGUGAAAUGCGUAGAUAUAGGAAGGAACACCAGUGGCGAAGGCGACUACCUGGACUGAUACUGACACUGAGGUGCGAAAGCGUGGGGAGCAAACAGGAUUAGAAACCCGGGUAGUCC